CUGAAAAUAAAUGAGGCUCAUUUUUCAGGAAAAUGGAGACCAGUGAGGAUGUUUAAAGUAUUCUGUGAAGAUCUGGGCAAGCUGCUUCUCUCCUCAGGAUGCUUUGUCCUGCCAGCCAAGCCAUGUUCUGUUGAGGUCAUGCAAGAUGGAUUAUUUUACAUCGGCAUUUGCAAAUGACGGCUCAAACUUGAAUCUACAAUUCCCGGAAUUUCAUAAUAACAGAGAUGGUUCCAGAAAGCUGAUACAGGCCAUUUCCUCCAAAUAAACCCAUGUUUUCAUAUGACAAACUGUGGCGCUUUCUAUAAAAGAAACCCUCUGUUUGGGUUCCAUCAAACACAUGCCAAAUAAUAAUGAUAAUAAAACAAUAUCCAUUUAU